UGAUUUGAAGAUUUGUUUUGC
rnacentral:piRNA from 1 species